rnacentral:rRNA from 1 species
AGCGAACGCUGGCGGCAGGCUUAACACAUGCAAGUCGAGCGGGCAUAGCAAUAUGUCAGCGGCAGACGGGUGAGUAACGCGUGGGAACGUACCUUUUGGUUCGGAACAACACAGGGAAACUUGUGCUAAUACCGGAUAAGCCCUUACGGGGAAAGAUUUAUCGCCGAAAGAUCGGCCCGCGUCUGAUUAGCUAGUUGGUGAGGUAAUGGCUCACCAAGGCGACGAUCAGUAGCUGGUCUGAGAGGAUGAUCAGCCACAUUGGGACUGAGACACGGCCCAAACUCCUACGGGAGGCAGCAGUGGGGAAUAUUGGACAAUGGGCGCAAGCCUGAUCCAGCCAUGCCGCGUGAGUGAUGAAGGCCCUAGGGUUGUAAAGCUCUUUUGUGCGGGAAGAUAAUGACGGUACCGCAAGAAUAAGCCCCGGCUAACUUCGUGCCAGCCGCCGCGGUAACAC